rnacentral:tRNA from 1 species
CGGGGCGUAGCACAGCUUGGUAGUGCGCAAGUUUUGGGUACUUGAGGUCGCGAGUUCGAAUCCCGCCGCCCCGACCA